rnacentral:rRNA from 1 species
CCUACGGGAGGCUGCAGUGAGGAAUAUUGGUCAAUGGGCGUAAGCCUGAACCAGCCAAGUCGCGUGAGGGAUGAAGGUUCUAUGGAUCGUAACCCUCUUUUAUAAGGGAAUAAAGUGCGGGACGUGUCCCGUUUUGUAUGUACCUUAUGAAUAAGGAUCGGCUAACUCCGUGCCAGCAGCCGCGGUAAUACGGAGGAUCCGAGCGUUAUCCGGAUUUAUUGGGUGUAAAGGGUGCGUAGGCGGCAUUUUAAGUCAGCGGGGAAAGUCUGUGGUUCAACCAUAGAAUUGCCGUUGAAACUGGGAGGCUUGAGUGUGUGUGAGGCAGGCGGAAUGCGGGGUGUAGCGGGGAAAUGCGUAGAUAGAAGGAAGAACACCAGUUGCGAAGGCGGCCUGCCAGGCCAUGACUGACGCUGAUGCACGAAAGCGUGGGGAUCAAACAGGAUUAGAUACCCGGGUAGUC